rnacentral:piRNA from 1 species
UGGAUGCUUGAUCGUCAAGUCUAGGCCACU